UACGUAGGGGCCUAGCGUUGUCCGGAUUUAUUGGGCGUAAAGAGCUCGUAGGCGGUUUGGUGAGUCGGGUGUGAAAUCUCCACGCUCAACGUGGAGGGGCCACCCGAUACUGCCAUGACUAGAGUCCGGUAGGGGAGUGUGGAAUUCCCGGUGUAGCGGUGAAAUGCGUAGAUAUCGUAAGGAAGACCAGUGGCGAAGGCGGGUCUCUGGACAGUUCCUGACGCUGAGGCACGAAGGUCAGGGGAGCAAACGGG
rnacentral:rRNA from 1 species